AACGAACGCUGGCGGCAUGCCUAACACAUGCAAGUCGAACGAGACCUUCGGGUCUAGUGGCGCACGGGUGCGUAACGCGUGGGAACCUGCCCUUAGGUUCGGAAUAACUCCCCGAAAGGGGUGCUAAUACCGGUUAAUGUCUUCGGACCAAAGAUUUAUCGCCUUUGGAUGGGCCCGCGUUGGAUUAGCUAGUUGGUAGGGUAAAAGCCUACCAAGGCGACGAUCCAUAGCUGGUCUGAGAGGAUGAUCAGCCACACUGGGACUGAGACACGGCCCAGACUGCUACGGGAGGGAGCGGUGGGGAAUAUUGGACGAUGGGCGAUAGCCUGGUCCAGCAAUGCCGCGUGAGUGAUGAAGGCCGUAGGGUUGUAAAGCUCUUUUACCCGAGAUGAGAAUGACAGUACCGGGAGAAUAAGCUCCGGCUAACUCCGUG
rnacentral:rRNA from 1 species